AAUACCAGAAAAUUGAAAGGUACAUUAAAAAUGAAAUAAAUAGGGAUGUUGCUGCAGAAAUUAUAAAAACACAUAUUCUAGAGAAUUUAAUAGAUUCAGAUUAUAUUCUGAAAUAAGAGAAUAAUAGAUUAAGCUAGAGAUGAAGUUUUGUUGUGGAAUGAGAAAUAUGAUGCUUGUCAGCGAACGAUCCACAGUAAAUCAAUGUGGGCUGAAAUAACAGCAGGAUUAAAAAGAGUUUAUAAUGUUAUUGCCCAAUACACCUUAGCUGGGACAGACAGUGGAAUGAAAUUAGAUGAGGAAGACAUUAAAGAUAAUAAAAUUAUAGUUGUUCAUGUCUUUAGAAAGAUACGUAUCCGAGACAGAAGGGCAUAGUGAACAGAUGUUCUGCUUUUCUCUCUGUAUCAUUUUGCAGUUAUGUCUGUCUUCUAGAGAUGUUAAUGAUACCAAGUGACUAUCAAAUUCUCUUUGGUGGGGAAAAGAAAGAGACUGUUCUUGGUAGAAUUAAGAGAGCAUCAGUAUUACAGAGGCAGGUACCUUUAACUGGAAAUUCUGCCCUUCUUGUCUGUAGAAAAAAAACCUUUUACAAUUUGAACUCCAAACGAAAUUCUCUCCUGUUCCCUCCUGUUCUUUUGAUUGUCUCAUUUGCAAGACCAAUGACCAGCCAGGUGCGUCAGCCUUUGUGUGCUCUGCUGUUGUGAUGUAAAUCACUUGUUCCCCCUGUUCUUUCUCAGUUAAGAUAUGUUCAGAUCCCAAUGUGUUUAUACAUAGAUCCAUGAUGCAUGUCAUAUGUUUUGCACAGGCAUGAUUAAUGUGCCAUGCAUGUUUUUGAGUGCAUCCUCAAAAGCCCUGCAAUACAAACCAUGACUUGUACACUGUCCUUCUGUUCUGUGCAAAUGAAUGUUGAGGCUGCCUGUGCCUGAAGAUGUUGGCCAACAUGUUUUAACCCUGCUAAGGAGGGUUAUGGGCACCAGCCUAACCACCUCCUUGGUGUUCCUGCAGCUUUUCUCAAGUGAAAUCAGUGGCUGUGGCAGCCUGCCUGGAGCAAGGCAACUCACUGUUGUGGGCUCAGUCACAGCUCGGGGACUUCCACACAGCUAAAGCGUAAUACACUGUAGGAAAUGGUAGCUGAUCCUUGAAGGGUGUCUGGUCCUUUAUGUAAACCUCUGUGAGAAAGCAGGUAUCAGGUGUCUGUUUUCUUGAUGUAAGUGGUUCUCAGUUCAGUCUGAGAAAGUAUUCAUCUGCCCAGUUUCUGUCUAAAAGUCAGAUCCAGCUUUUUAACAGGCCUUUCAUCCCUAGUGGGUCUGAGCUGCUCCUCAUGUCACCCCAGAGGCUGAUCACUGGUCUUGUCAUUUUAGUUAUCUAAUCUUCAGGGUUACUUCAGUGAUACUUAGAAAUAAAUUGAUGUUCACCUGGGCUUCCCCCUUCCAUCUUCCCCAAUAAGAUGGAACAGAUCUAUUUAGUAAUCUGUUCAACUUUGUCAUUAUGGCCUACUGAGAGGAAAAAGUAUGUUGGGAUUUUAACCAAAAUGGUCUUUUUGAUUUUCAGAAAAUGGUCAUGUGACUUUGUUUUCAUGCAGAUAUAAGGUUCUGCCUACAAAAACCAUGGAGAUUCAGAGAGAGUUCCCUCUAGGAAGAACUUGAAACUGAAAGACUGCACUUGCUCUGCUUACGUGACUAGGUUAAUUAAUGGGUGUAUUCUCAGAAGUAAAGCUGUUUCCAGGUGCAAAUCUUGUGCACCAGAAGCCUUUAGAUGUAGAAAGUGGAAAGUGAAGAUUUUCUGAGCGGCUUGUGAAACAAAGCUUUGCUCUUGCCAUGUUCUGCAGGACUACAGGUAUGAGGUAUUUCAAACUUCAUGCCAACUAUCUUAUUUAUAACCAGUUGAGCCUUAAUUUUGUUCCCUUCUGGAGCAGAAGUUCUCUUUUGUUAUGAAAUUCUCCUGUAAUUCACUGUGUUACUAUGACUAAAAGUAUAUCAUUUUAAUAGGUUGUGAAGUGAAUCUUUGAAUUAUUGUCUCAUUCAAAUCCUUCAUACUGCAGGCCACAGUUCCAACCUGCAUUCAUCUGCUCUACCAACAGGCAGAAGUCCUGGACAACAGAGAUAGGAACCUUUGCCAUCAUACAGUGAGCUGAUGCCAGAAGUGUGCCUGUCAGUGGUGAGUGAACAGCAGGCACAAGGAGCGCUUUGGCAUAGCAAACAUUGGCAUCUUUGGUGAACAGUCUGAAUGAAGUGGAUCCAUUUCUCAAUAAAGGUAUAGGCUUUCAUAUACCCUCACGUUCCUCUUCUAGUGUGCAGUUUAGCUAAAUCAGGCCAGGUUAAAUUGCUGUUUUGGGGCAGACACCAGACCUUCUAGCACUUUGAACUGGGGAUGCAGUACCAUACUACUUGUGUUAAACAGCACCACAAUCUCUAGUAUACCUCUUUGCUUUUGAUGACUUUAUUAAAACAUGAAUAGUUAAUCUGAGACUACUGAAAAAUGGAAAAAAAAACCCACCUUAAUAAUUUAAUCUGUGCCUCACAAGUUUUGUUUGAAUGUUCUUGCUGAUCUAAACAAAGAAUAUUUGAGCUAUCACAAGGAAGACGCGCAUCUGAGUUGGCACUGUAUUGUUAUUUCCUGCACAACUGUACAGUGAACUCAGAUAACAUUCCCUCUCAUCUGCUUGCUUGAAAUGAGUACAUUUUGUACACGAACAGGCUGCAGGCUUACCACUAAAUACCACUGCCCUUGACAUGAUGAGUAAUCAGCUGAUGAAACGAAGGCUGGUAAAGCCAAAGUAAAUAUUUUGAACAGUAUCUACAUAUUUUGACCAAACUCCUCCUGAGAAGAAACAUGAGAUUUAUUAUAUCCCUUAAAAUGUCAGUGUAUCAUUUGAAGGUUCACCCAUGGAGUCUCUCUUGUGCGUUAUAUGCUAGUCAGAGGACUGAUGCAGUGCAGUAAGUUUCGCUUCAGCUCUCUCAGGUUUGCCAAGAAGUUUGGGGCUUAUUUUGGUCACACAGCUGUAGAAAUACAGUCCAUUGUAUUCAGUGUACUCAAAGUAUAGCUUUGUUAGAAAAGCAAACCAGUUAGUGACCUAUUCAUGGUACAUUCUCAUUAUUUCUUAAUUUUUGCUUAUUUUCAGCAAGGAACUAGUAGAACACUCAGUACUAAUACAACAUUCCUCUGUUGUAUUAAGCUUGAGAAUACUAGUGCAGGGAAAAUGAAGCCUAUUAUGUUAGAAAAACCUAAAAUAAAUCUGGACUUUGUAAGAAGAAACUGAGGUAGUUGUGAAUCCUGUAAUGAAACCCCAGGAAGCUGGGUUAGAAUCCUACCUACAUUGGAUUGCCAUAUCUGAUUUACCUUAAGAUGUAAAGCAGGUAGAUUUUUUUUUUAAUUGAUGGCUAAUCUCCUGCUAUUGGAUCUAAUAAUUUACAAAUAAAAGUGAUUCUCUGUGGCCUCUGAUUCUCAUUAAUCUCCUUUUCAUGUCCCAUUAAAAAAGGGGUAAAUGAAGUGCAUGCAGAAGGAAAGAGAGUAAAGGACACUUCCCUUGUCAUCUACUGAUUUAUUCUCCCCCCUGGUCAUGCCUGGUAGUGGCUACAGGGAGUUGCUCUUUGGAAGGCUGAGUAUAUUAAAACCAUAUAACACUGCUGGAAAAAUUCCUGCUGCUUUGAUUCAAAGCCAGUUACACCUUCUCAGAAGACACUGAUUGUCACACUUUUCCCAGCAAUACCAUUUGUGAGGGCUUGGAGGUUAUGAAUUAUAACUGAUAUAAUCAAUAAAAGCUAAACCACAUUUUUAUAAAACUCACUGGUUGACAUAUACGUGGAACAAGAGACAAGAAACAUG